ensembl:snoRNA Snora47 small nucleolar RNA, H/ACA box 47
UGGAGGAUUGAGAAGGUGGGGCAGCUUUGUACCAUGCUGUCUUCCACUGGUUAAGGCCUCCAAUAGCAAAGGACUGCCCAGGCAGAGGAUGUCCCUCCCUCUACCCCCUUUGGGGGCGGGGGGGUUGCAGCACUGUGCUGGCCAACAUUUG